AACGAACGCUGGCGGCAUGCCUAACACAUGCAAGUCGAACGAGACCUUCGGGUCUAUUGGCGCACGGGUGCGUAACGCGUGGGAACCUGCCCUUAGGUUCGGAAUAACUCCCCGAAAGGGGUGCUAAUACCGGAUAAUUUCUUCGGACCAAAGAUUUAUCGCCUUUGGAUGGGCCCGCGUUGGAUUAGCUAGUUGGUAGGGUAAAAGCCUACCAAGGCGACGAUCCAUAGCUGGUCAGAGAGGAUGAUCAGCCACACUGGGACUGAGACACGGCCCAGACUCCUACGGGAGGCAGCAGUGGGGAAUAUUGGACAAUGGGCGAAAGCCUGAUCCAGCAAUGCCGCGUGAGUGAUGAAGGCCUUAGGGUUGUAAAGCUAUUUUACCCGGGAUGAUAAUGACAGUACCGGGAGAAUAAGCUCCGGCUAACUCCGUG
rnacentral:rRNA from 1 species